GCAGCGAAACGCGAUAGUUAAUGUGAAUUGCAGAAUUCAGUGAAUCAUCGAGUCUUUGAACGCACAUUGCGCCCAUUGGUAUUCCUUUGGGCAUGUCUGUUUGAGCGUCAUUACAACCCUCAGCUAACCGCUGGUUUUGAACCUGAACGGGUUGACACCUGCACCGGUUUUAAAGUUGUAAGCUCUGCUGGCCGCUCUGCCCCAACCAGAACAUAGUAAGCACUACUUGUCCCGGUGAAGCUGAACGGUACGGCCUGAACAAAACCUACCCACUUCUAAGGUUUGACCUCAGAUCAGACAAGGAUACCCGCUGAACUUAAGCAUAUCAAUAAGCGGAGGAAAAGAAACCAACA
rnacentral:rRNA from 1 species